rnacentral:rRNA from 1 species
UACAGAGGUCCCAAGCGUUGUUCGGAUUCACUGGGCGUAAAGGGUGCGUAGGCGGUCGGGUAAGUCAGCUGUGAAAUCUCCGAGCUUAACUCGGAACGGUCAGCUGAUACUGAUCUGCUAGAGUGCGGAAGGGGCAAUCGGAAUUCUUGGUGUAGCGGUGAAAUGCGUAGAUAUCAAGAGGAACACCUGAGGUGAAGACGGGUUGCUGGGCCGACACUGACGCUGAGUGCGCGAAAGCCAGGGGAGCAAACGGG